rnacentral:lncRNA from 1 species
AGGUAAUCCAGAAGUAGUUGAAUACUGUGACAACUAUGAGUCAUCUGCAUACCACUGCCAUGGUAAUAUUCCUGUAUGGGGCAUAUCACAUGCGGGCCAUGUACUUCCUGCUGGAAACCAAGCUUUAUAUAAAAUAUCAGUUUAUGAAGUUUGUACCAUUAUGGACAAGUCCAGACAUUUAUCAAAGAACAUUGCAAGCAAUGAAAUGAGGUUUCUGGUUGUUGCAUCCAUUGAUGGAUCAUCUGAAGACAUUUUACCAGUAUGAACAGCUUAUCUAAAUGAAGAUAUCUUUAUGAUGUUUCCAACAACAGAAAAAUGGCAGUGUCAGUGUAUGCCAGUUUUAAAAUACCUGUGCUGGCUUGCACUGUUUUGUCUUGGUAUUUUACCUCAAACUGCAAUUAAGUGGCAUGUAUGCUUGCCAUUAUUUUCUAGACAAGAUUAAUAACACAAUGUAUUUAUUCAAUAACAGAAGCUUUGAUUAACUUGUAUUGUGCAAGUUGUUCCUUGUUCAUGACUGUUAAAGGUGGUAGAGCUGGACAAAAAUCUAGUUGUGAGUCAUUUGGA